rnacentral:rRNA from 1 species
AGUAACACGUGGAUAACCUACCUAUAAGACUGGGAUAACUUCGGGAAGCCGGAGCUAAUACCGGAUAAUAUAUUGAACCGCAUGGUUCAAUGGUGAAAGACGGUUUUGCUGUCACUUAUAGAUGGAUCCGCGCUGCAUUAGCUAGUUGGUAAGGUAACGGCUUACCAAGGCAACGAUGCGUAGCCGACCUGAGAGGGUGAUCGGCCACACUGGAACUGAGACACGGUCCAGACUCCUACGGGAGGCAGCAGCA